rnacentral:rRNA from 1 species
AGAUAAUCUACCCUUUAGGACCGGGAUAACCCUGGGAAACUGGGGAUAAUACUGGAUAGGCAAUUAUUCCUGUAAUGGUUUUUUGUUUAAAUGUUUUUUCGCCUAAGGAUGAGUCUGCGGCCGAUUAGGUAGUUGGUUAGGUAAUGGCUUACCAAGCCGUUGAUCGGUACGGGUUGUGAGAGCAAGAGCCCGGAGAUGGAACCUGAGACAAGGUUCCAGGCCCUACGGGGUGCAGCAGGCGCGAAACCUCCGCAAUGUGAGAAAUCGCGACGGGGGGAUCCCAAGUGCCAUUCUUAACGGGAUGGCUUUUCAUUAGUGUAAAGAGCUUUUGGAAUAAGAGCUGGGCAAGACCGGUGCCAGCCGCCGCGGUAACACCGGCAGCUCUAGUGGUAACAAUUUUUAUUGGGCCUAAAGCGUCCGUAGCCGGUUUAAUAAGUCUCUGGUGAAAUCCUGCAGCUUAACUGUGGGAAUUGCUGGAGAUACUAUUAGACUUGAGACCGGGAGAGGUUAGAGGUACUCCCAGGGUAGAGGUGAAAUUCUGUAAUCCUGGGAGGACCGCCUGUUGCGAAGGCGUCUAACUGGAACGGUUCUGACGGUGAGGGACGAAAGUUAGGGGCGCGAACCGGAUUAGAUACCCGGGUAGUCCUAACUGUAAACGAUGCGGACUUGGUGUUGGGGUGGCUUUGAGCUGUCCCAGUGCCGAAGGGAAGCUGUUAAGUCCGCCGCCUGGGAAGUACGGUCGCAAGACUGAAACUUAA